rnacentral:rRNA from 1 species
AGAGUUUGAUCCUGGCUCAGGAUGAACGCUGGCGGCGUGCCUAAUACAUGCAAGUCGAACGAGGUGCUUGAGUAGCAAUACGAGAGUAUCCUAGUGGCGAACGGGUGAGUAACGCGUUGGUGACCUACCCCAAAGUGUGGGAUAACAGUCCGAAAGGAUUGCUAAUACCGCAUGUGGUCUUCGGAUUUAGAAACUGAUGACUAAAGGAGCAAUUCGCUUUGGGAGGGACCUGCGUCCCAUCAGCUAGUUGGUGAGGUAACGGCUCACCAAGGCUACGACGGGUAGGGGACCUGAGAGGGUGGCCCCCCACAAUGGAACUGAAACACGGUCCAUACACCUACGGGUGGCAGCAGUAGGGAAUAUUGCACAAUGGGCGAAAGCCUGAUGCAGCAACGCCGCGUGUGCGAUGAAGGCCUUCGGGUCGUAAAGCACUUUUCUGAGAGAUGAGAAAGGACAGUAUCUCAGGAAUAAGUCUCGGCUAACUACGUGCCAGCAGCCGCGGUAAAACGUAGGAGGCAAGCGUUAUCCGGAUUCACUGGGCGUAAAGCGCGUGCAGGUGGUUCGGUAAGUUGGGCGUGAAAUCUCCCGGCUCAACUGGGAGAGGUCGUUCAAUACUACCGAACUUGAGAGCAGAAGAGGAAGAUGGAAUUCCCGGUGUAGUGGUGAAAUGCGUAGAUAUCGGGAGGAACACCAGUGGCGAAGGCGAUCUUCUGGUCUGUUUCUGACACUCAGACGCGACAGCUAGGGUAGUAAACGGGAUUAGAGACCCCGGUAAUCCUAGCCGUAAACGAUGUGAACUUGGCGUUGGUGGGUUAAACUCCAUCAGUGCCGAAGCAAACGCGAUAAGUUCACCGCCUGGGGACUACGGCCGCAAGGUUAAAACUCAAAGGAAUUGACGG